GACCUUUCAACUUUGAUCAACCUCUUUGGUGCACAGUUUGUUUUCAGCUGUAAGGAGUCAUACUAUGAUUCAUUUAGGAUGCGGUUUCCACUUGAAGAACGCCUUUCUGUGCGUUCGGGCCCCUUCAUUAGGCUCCUGCAGUGUGUGCCCACUCACCCAGGGAGGGGAGGUCAUCUCCAGGCCUAUUACUAAUCACAGCCCCGCCCUCCCCUGAGCAGCCAGACCCCCUCACUCACAGCUGGCAGAUUACAGGGGGGGAGGCAUAUGUUUGAAAGGGAACCACAGACGAGUCAGCCGCCCCUCACUGAUGACAAGACCCCAGGAAGUUACAGCACCCUACAGUAUCAAGGCACCCUUACAGUACUCAGUGCCUCCCUGUUAAACCACAGCAUGUUUGUGCUGCAAUACCCAUGGGUGCGAGUCAGCUCACAGUCUCCCCGAUGAACAGACGUCACUGAACACACAGGGAGCUCCCAUCCUAUCAGGGCUUUCUUUCAUUUCUCUCCACAAGCCUUCCACCCAGACCGGGGUUAUUAUUGGUCACAUCACAUGGGGUAUUACAACACAACAAGAUAUUUCUUCCAAGAGGAACCCAAUUCCUCGGUGACCGUUGUUCAGCCAGAACCUGAUGAGCUGAGGUGGAUACGUCCAAGAAAUCUGGACGCGCCUGUGACAACAAACUCUUCGGGGAGUCCAAACUUCCUUGUUACUCAUGGAAACUGAUUUACUAACACACACAAAGUUUACUCAAAUUUUCCAGUUGUCGUCGUCCCCUGGUAGCAGAGCUGGGACAAUGAGGGGUGAAUUGUGUUUUUGUUUCUCUUAUUUGAGAAUGUGUUUGAGUCAAAGUAAGAGAGACAGACUGAAACUUUGGCCUGUGUUGUAAAAGGGGGAAAUUUCUGCUUUAACAGCUCCCGUACCUUCGCAGAACGCGUGCAUAACUUUCCAAAUCACUAAUAGAAACCAGACACGCCGUGAACAAGGAUUGGGGUUUUCACUGCACAGCUCAGGAGGGAACCACUGGAGAAGUGACGUGACAGAGUAGGAGGUUAGGAGGGAUAGUCACGUUUUUGAGAAAAGAUAGGAAAAUAAUAGAAAAGAACUGGGCAGAGAGCAAACUCAUACACUUUAGGAUUUAUUUUUACACAGAAUGACAAAAGUAUGGACAAAAGGAGAGGGAGGCCAGAGACCAGGGGAAAUGGAAAGGCUUUGUGGACAAUCUUGGAACCUAUGAGUUAUUAUUUGUAGCUCCUGGGAGUGAUGGACAAUUUGGAGGGCUUCUGGUGUUGGCAGUUAUUUAGACAAGGGAUAAAAGACUUUGUGGCAAAGAAUAUUUAUUAUUUUGAAUCAGAAUCAACUUUAAGAGCCAGACUCUGCUUUACCCUUGCAUUGAGUGUACAUAUGCAGCUUUAGCUUGCAACAAGGAGCAGCUUACAGAAGGUAACAGUAAAGCUCCUGUAAGGAACCUUUAGUUUGUGUCAAUGUUAUUUUGUCCUGUUUUGGACUUAUCUCUCUGAUCUUGCCUUGUAUUAAAAAAAAAAAAAAGAGUUCUGUUUUGCUGUCUUUUUUAAGUCCAUCAUACCCUCACUGAAAACCUUUGCUGUGAAAAAUGUCAAGACCUGUUUAUUUAGUUCACUUCACCUGACUCCCACCUGUUGGUGGUGGUUUCAAGCAUUACAAAUGACUUGAUAUA